UUGGACAAGGGGGAAACCCUGAUCACAAUGCCCGUGCGUGAAAAGCCUUCGGUUGUAAAGCCUUUUGUCAGAAGAAACGGUAAAUUAAUACCUUUUGCUAUGACGUACCUGAAAAUAACCCGUAAUACUGCCACAGCCGGUAAUACUAGGGCGCGUUACCGGAAUUACUGGGUAAAGCGGCGGUUGUGAAAAAGUGAAAUCCCGGGCUUACCAGAUUGUUUGGACUACUACUAUGGCAUUAUGUUUAUCCUGGAAGCAACAAGUUUUGGCCCGCGCC
rnacentral:rRNA from 1 species